AGCAGCCGCGGUAAUUCCAGCUCCAAUAGCGUAUAUUAAAGUUGUUGCAGUUAAAAGCUCGUAGUUGAAUUUCGGGGUUAGUAGGUUGGUCAUGCCUCUGGUAUGUACUGGUCUCACUGAUUCCUCCUUCCUGAUGAACCUUAAUGCCAUUUAUUUGGUGUUUUGGGGAAUUUGGACUGUUACUUUGAAAAAUUAGAGUGUUUAAAGCAAGCUAACGCUUGAAUACAUUAGCAUGGAAUAAUGAAAUAGGACGUUCGAUCCUAUUUUGUUGGUUUCUAGGAUUGACGUAAUGAUUAAUAGGGAUAGUUGGGGGCAUUAGUAUUCAAUUGUCAGAGGUGAAAUUCUUGGAUUUAUUGAAGACUAACUACUGCGAAAGCAUUUGCCAAGGAUGUUUUCAUUAAUCAAGAACGAAAGUUAGGGAUCGAAGACGAUCAGAUACCGUCGUAGUCUUAACCAUAAACUAUGCCGACUAGGGAUCGGAUGAUGUUAAUUUUUUAAUGUACUCAUUCGGCGCCUUACG
rnacentral:misc_RNA from 1 species